GACGAACGCUGGCGGCGUGCUUAACACAUGCAAGUCGAACGGAAAGGCCCUUCUUUUGUGGGGUGCUCGAGUGGCGAACGGGUGAGUAACACGUGAGUAACCUGCCCUUGACUUUGGGAUAACUUCAGGAAACUGGGGCUAAUACCGGAUAGGAGCUCCUGCUGCAUGGUGGGGGUUGGAAAGUUUCGGCGGUUGGGGAUGGACUCGCGGCUUAUCAGCUUGUUGGUGGGGUAGUGGCUUACCAAGGCUUUGACGGGUAGCCGGCCUGAGAGGGUGACCGGACACAUUGGGACUGAGAUACGGACCAGACUCCUACGGGAGGCAGCAGUGGGGAAUAUUGCAAAAUGGGCGGAAGCCUGAAGCAGCAACGACGCGUGCGGGAUGACGGCCUUCGGGUUGUAAACCGCUUUAGCCUGUGACGAAGCGUGAGUGACGGUAAUGGGUAAAGAAGCACAGGCUAACUACGUG
rnacentral:rRNA from 1 species